CGGAAUCCAUGGAGUAGCAAUACUCCGGAAGAUUUAGUGGCGAACGGGUGAGGAACACGUGAGAAACUUGCCCCGGACUUUGGGAUAACAGUUGGAAACGACUGCUAAUACCGAAUACCUUCGGAGUCCCGCAUGGGUCAUCGAAGAAAGAAUUUCGGUCCGGGAGAGUCUCGCGGCCUAUCAGCUAGUUGGUGGGGUAAUGGCCUACCAAGGCAACGACGGGUAGCUGGUCUGAGAGGAUGAUCAGCCACACUGGGACUGAGACACGGCCCAGACUCCUACGGGAGGCUGCAGUGGGGAAUCUUGUGCAAUGGGCGCAAGCCUGACACAGCAACGCCGCGUGCGGGAAGAAGGCCUUCGGGUCGUAAACCGCUUUCAGCAGGAACGAAAAUGACGGUACCUGCAGAAGAAGAUGCGGCCAACUACGUGCCAGCAGCCGCGGUGACACGUAGGCAUCAAGCGUUGUCCGGAUUUAUUGGGCGUAAAGAGCUCGUAGGCGGUUCAGCAAGUCGGGUGUGAAAACUAUGGGCUUAACCCAUAGCCUGCAUCCGAAACUGCUGUGACUAGAGUUCGGUAGGGGAGAGGGGAAUUCCUAGUGUAGCGGUGAAAUGCGCAGAUAUUAGGAGGAACACCGAUGGCGAAGGCACCUCUCUGGGCCGAUACUGACGCUGAGGAGCGAAAGCGUGGGUAGCAAACAGGAUUAGAUACCCUGGUAGUCCACGCCGUAAACGUUGGGCACUAGGUGUGGGUCUCUAACCAACGAGAUCCGCGCCGUCGCU
rnacentral:rRNA from 1 species